UAACCGGAAUAAUCUGAAUUUCGGCAAGGAAAUUUCAGGGAAUAUUCGGAAGAGUGUAUACUAUUCGAUAAAGCAAGAAAAAAAAAUCGAUUUUUUGAAAAUUUCGCACUGGAAAGCUCCCUUAAUAGGAACAAGAGAAACAUGUGCGUGGAGAAUGAAGCAUGGAACUGUUAAAUCUGAUUUGAGGUGCAAAAACAAUGUGCUUUGCUUUUAUUGAUUUGGAGCAGGAACGAAGCCUUUAUCACAUUUUAUUCAUUAUUAGAAAUAUUAGAUUUAUUAUUAGUUGAAUGCAAAAGCUGUGCGUGAUUCACCAAUAACAGGAAAAGAUUCAAAAACGAUUGGCGAUGCGCGAAAAACGAGUGCCCGCGCAUCAGAAAAACAUUCAAAACACGAGAUUUCAUCAUUCUUUUAUCUUGUUAAUGUAUUGUUGAGGAGAUUCAUAUCGCACUCACGCGAAAAAGUAGAAAUAAUAAAUCUUUCGAAAUAUAAUAGAUCAAUCCAAGCGUGGGCGAGUGAUAGGACUCUGGGAGUCCGGUGUAUCGGUUUCAGCGAUAGCAGCCGAAGUCAAUAUCAGCGUCUCAACAGCAAAGCACUAAAAGUUCAGAGAAGUUGGCAUCGUGGGACUGGAGGACCACCGAAGAGGCAAUGGUGCUGCUUGCCGAACAACAGCUGCUGAGGAUCAAGCUGGCCAGCCAAAUCCUCGGAUCUCAAUCCGAAAGAAAACUGUUGGUCUGAAAUGGUCCGGGGCUGAAGGCCUGUUGCCAGGAAGAGUGAGGAAGGCCUGAGUCUUCGAGUCGAAGCAGAGUGGAAAGAACUCCGCACCAGGCCAGAGUAUAUUGAGGCAAUCGUUGGUGCGAUGCACCGUCGAAUGCAUAGUGUACUCGAGAAUGAUGAUUGGUGGACACACAAUCGAAUGAGGACGUGAGCGCCUAAAUUUUACCGCCUUGUUUUUGAGUACUUGUGUAGUUGGUGGGGCAUUGACCUAUUAGAGCUGAGUACUCUUCACCUUUCGCACUGUGCUGUUGCUUUUGAUAAUACAAAAUUUUCAAGUCUAUUUUUCACUGCUCCCUCAUCAGCCUAUUCUCAUCAAUUAUAACGGGUAUAGUUGUUUGUAUUUUCUUGAACUUUUGUAACUACCUUAUAGCUUUCAGUUCAUAUCUCGGUUCAUAGUAUUCGUAGAAAAGGUAAGCAUUGUAUUUUCUGGAAGUUUUCUUGUUGCUUGCAUUGUGCAAGUGGAAUGCAUUAGAUGAUAACAAUUGUCACGAAGCCACGCUUCGUUACAAGACCGACUAGUACCCCUGAACACCGCGAGAGGGCCAAAGUAAGGUACCAACCGGGAAACCCUAGCAUCCAGCAAGUCAUAGAUCAAAAGGUCGACAAAAUGCUCGCCGAUAACCUAAUCGAACCGUCGAACAAUCCCUGGAGCUCGCCAGUAGUUAUCGUGAAGAAGAAAGAUGGCAAACCACGCUUCCGCGUGGACUACCGCAAGUGAUAGGGCGGUAUUUUUUAAGUGCCCAAGGGCGGCAAAAAUUUAAAUCCGGCCCUGACCGCAAGUCAACGCCACCCUCGAUAAGCUACGAGGCGCACGCUACCUAUCCACUAUCGACCUGAAGAAUGGAUAUUGGCAGGUCCCGAUGGCUGACCCUAGCCGACCGAUGACCGCAUUCACCGUACUAGGCAGAGGCCUAUCCCAGUUCCGAGUCAUGCCGAGUCGUAAACCCCGAACUCGAGCCAUAUGCGUUCGCAUACCUCGAUGAUGUUAUCGUGGUGAGCGGCACUUCUGAGGACCACCUAAGACACCUGGCCACUGUGUUCCACGGCCUGCGAGAGGCCCAACUCAGGAUAAACCCAGGUAAAUGUAAAUUCUGCGUAGCCAGCUUGAAGUACCUCGGGCAUAUCAUCGACAAAGACGGAAUUCACACCGACCCGGAGAAAACGCAGGCAAUCACUCGAAUGGCAGCUCCGCAUAACCGCCGAACAGUACGACGAUUCCCAGGUUGAAUUUCCUGGUACCGACGAUGCAUCCUAGACGUAUCCACAGUCACCGCCCCACUCAACGAACCAAUCAAGAAAUCGACCAGAUGGCAUUGGGGAGAACCACAGCGAACCGCGUUCAACCGACUAAAGCAAUUGCUAACUACCACGCCCAUUCUAGCAUGCCCGGACUUCUAAAAGGGAUUCUCACUAUAGACCGACGCUAGCAACACCGGCAUCGGCGCCGUACUAACGCAGAACCAUGACGGUCAAGAACGGGUCAUAGCCUACGUCAGCCGCACGUUAUCCCCCGCCGAACGAAACUACACCGUUACCGAAAAAAAAUGCGUUGCGGUAGUAUGGGGCAUCCGCAAGCUCCGCGGCUACCUCGAAGGAUACAAAUUCGAGAUCAUCACGGAUCACCAGUCGCUAAACUGGCUCCAACGACUAGACAACCGCUCCGGGCGACCGGCCCGGUGGGCACUCGAGCUGCAACAGUAUCACUUCUCUGUUAAAUACCGAGAAGGAUCGAAAAAACAUGGUAGCCGGCGCACUUUCCCGACAGGAGCUCGAGCUAGCCGCCAGCGGAGUAGCGUGUCGUUGUAUAACCGCAUGAAACAAGCGACCGAAGAGAACCGCAACGACAACCCGGAUUUCCGCGUAGAGGGCGGCUAGCUCUUUCAGAGCAUCCCCGACCGGCUAGAUUACAACGAAGAAACCGACCAGGAUAAAUUGGAAGCGUUGUGUGCCGCGCGACCAACGACCAGAAGUGCUCCGCCAACAACACGACGAACCCACCGCCGGCCACCUGGGCAUCGCCAAAACGAUAUCCCGACUGACUAGCCCGCCGUUACUAUUGGCCUGGAAUGUUCCGCGUGACUAGACUAGACCUUGGCGACCUGCGAUCGGGCGGAAGGUUCUGGAGCCGUACGCAUCACCUAUCAAACAAGGCUAGGAACAGAAACGCCAAGGUCAUGCUGAAGUGCGAAGGAUCCUACACCGUGUGGAACCAGGUGUCACCAAUAAUUUACCGAACCCGCGUGGCCAGCUCAUCUCAUAGGCAAAACCUCCAAGGCAAGAGGCUUCGGGCCGUCCGCGAGUGCCUGUAAGCGGACCGGCGCCCCCGACACCGGCACCGAGAAGCCGGCCAGCGCACCGCCACCAGGAGGUGGAGAUCCUCUUCCUCGAUGCUUUGGUCUUCGCGCAACACCGCUGCCGACCAGCCAAGCACCGUGCACCGGCCCCAAAACCAGGGUACACCACCGACGCACCAGUACCCUCCAGUAGACCGAACCGCAACUACGAGCUUCCCGCGGGGGGGGGGGGGGGGGGGAAUCACCGUCUCCAUGGAAACCCGAAAAUGGAAGCUGCGACGCCACGGUAACGAGCGCACCCUGAGGUUUGACCGCGCCGGCAACCUCACAUACGUGGAGCCCAAAAAGAGGGACUCUAGUUGGACCCGUCUAUCAGAGCCGCCAGCGUUAUAUGCGAGAACUGUGCUCCACAAAACAUUACCAAAAUAACUGCAUCUUUAUAGAUAUAGUAUAUAGUAGUGCAGUACGGACGUAUAUUUUUCUGUUGAAUUUGAAUUAGAGUGAUUUUAAAUACAAAGCGGUUAUCAAUAAAACAUUUUUGUAUCAAAUUGUUAAUGAAAAACUAAGGUUUUAUUUGGAGUAAUGGUCUUUUAUUAUUGAUAGACGGGAUAUUUAUUGAAAACUACAAAGUAUCUCAAUAAUAUAGUUUAAGGUUAUUGUGAAAAUAAUGAGUUGUCGGUCGUAAUUUUGUGUGCUGCCACCUAGAGAAAAUUUCAUGAUGUCUAUGUCAUGUGCAUUCGGGUCGGUUUACGAUUGACGCAUACGUUUCCGUUCACGUUCCCUCUUACGUAGAAAUUACGAGUCUGGUAUACAAUGAAGUGCUGCGUAAGCAUUAAACCAAUUAGAAGUCGCUUCCUCCGUCCAAUAAGCAGCCUGCAGAGGAACAAAAUCAAUGUCGUGCAUAACCUGCAAGAUACUCAGGGUAUAAACAAACCUGCCGUAAACAUAUAACAAUUAAAUCUUAAUUAUAACAGAAUAAUUCUUUUAUAACAACGUUAAUUGAAUUAUGGUUAUAUUUCAACUAGUAUAACAGGGCAAUCUUGAAUAAAUAUAUAAAUAUUUUAACAUCAAUUAGUUUUUAAAAAACUAACUGAACUAUACAUAGGUUGCUUUAUUUUUCUCCAAUUAUAUUAAUCAAAUCUAACUCAAUCGCCAGCAACCCUUUCUUUGUCUGACUUUGGUUUAAUAAAUAAUAAUAAUAAAAUGUUAACAAUACAGAUGAUCUCUGAAUUGAGAUGUCGUCAAAUAUAAAAAUACAUGUCAAAUGUUAAAAUCGUAUUGUUAUACGCACCUCGUCUGUUAUAUUUUAAUACAGUUUAUACUUAUGUCAG